rnacentral:misc_RNA from 1 species
GUGUACCAAGUGACCAGUGUGGGUGCCGGAGGUGGUACACACAGCUGCACACGGGGCUGGUGUGGGCGUGCAGGUGUGCUGGUCACAGAUCACUCUACAAGUAAUACAAUGCCUCGUCAGGAACCAGAAGAAUAUCAGUUUAUUCACCGGAGAGCUGGCCAUGUUAUGGUGGCUUAUGAUAAUCGCUUAUUCGUAUGGGGCGGCUACAUGGAGCUGCCUCACUCUGAAUCCUACACCCUUAUGACACCCAGCAAGUGCUUAUAUCAUAGUGCCAUAGAUGUUUUUAUGUAUGAUCCUCUGCUCAAUACAUGGACCCGUCGCAUGAGUAAUGGGCAUAUUCCACUACAGCUCUCGGGAUCAUGUGCGGCAGUUCACCAUCAGCACAUGUAUCUUUUUGGAGGCUGGACUAAUAAUACAUCAGACGAGUAUGAAAAUAGUUCCAAUUCCUUGUGGCGACUUCACCUACCUUCAUUAACUUGGGAGUUGCUGUUUCCUGAGGGUAUACCACCAUUUCCCUGUGACAAGGCUGCCUGCUGGGUCUUCAAAAAUAGGUUCUAUGUGUUUGGAGGUUUUGGCCCAGCAAGAGAAUUACACUCAAUGUCUGGCGUGAAGGUCACUUUUGUACGUGACAAUAUUUUCCCAAGUGGCUGGAUAGAUCAACUGGUAUAUUAUGAUAUAGAAAAUAAUAAAUGGGUGUGGCCUGAGACGCAAGGUCCCAAGCCGUCUCCUCGAGCUGCACACACAGCAGAUGUAACUGAUGACAAGGUGUUCAUAUUUGGAGGUCGGUUUAAAGAAGCUAGAAUGAAUGAUUUACAUUGCUUGGAUCUUACCAAUAUGAUAUGGAGUGGCAACUUGACUGAGAGCGCGGUUCAAGAAACUCCUGAGGGUCGUUCCUGGCACACGUUCAAUUUUGUAUCUGAAAAUAAGGCAGUUAUAUAUGGUGGCUUCAAUACAUCUCAACAAGUUCUAAAGGACAUCUGGGUGCUAGAUGUUAACAAUGGAAAAUGGCAGCAGUCACACAAUGUGCACGCAGGGCCUGUACUGUGGCAUACUUCAGCUGUUGGAUUCCCUGGAGAAGUGACAUUCUAUGGAGGAAUUAAAAACAAUCUUCUGGACUAUUCACAACCAAAAAUGAUUGCUGGUUGCUGAAGGUAGAGGUCGAUGAACCCUUCCAAGCCCUUUAUAGCAUAACUUGGCGAGAGGUGCCCCUAGCUUAUGACCAUGGUGUACCCAGGUGCUGGCAUACUGCAGCAGUUGUACCUCCUGGGGAACUCUACAUUCUUUCAGGACUCACUCAGCCAUACUACAUCACUAUGGCGAUGCUAAUUGACCAUGCUGAAGAUUUAUUGGUAUUAAGAUUUAGUCCACCCAGUCUGCAAAGAUUGGGUAUUGAGGUUGUUGGUAAGCACAGAGAGAAGCUUCAAGAGCAGUGGCAUCUCUUACCCCAGACACUUCAGCAUAUCCUUGAGGU